rnacentral:rRNA from 1 species
UGAGGAACAUGACCUUCGGCGGGGGAGUAGCCGGCCCAACGGCCGGGUAAUACCGCGUACGACCACAUGGGGACGAUCCUCGAGUGGUGAAAGCAGCAAUGCACCGAAAGAGUGCCUCGCGGCCUAUCAGCUAGUUGGUGGGGUAACGGCUCACCAAGGCAACGACGGGUAGCUGGUCUGAGAGGAUGGCCAGCCACAUUGGGACUGAGACACGGCCCAGACUCCUACGGGAGCAG